rnacentral:rRNA from 1 species
AACGAACGCUGGCGGCAUGCCUAACACAUGCAAGUCGAACGAGACCUUCGGGUCUAGUGGCGCACGGGUGCGUAACGCGUGGGAACCUGCCCUUAGGUUCGGAAUAACUCCCCGAAAGGGGUGCUAAUACCGGAUAAUGUCUUCGGACCAAAGAUUUAUCGCCUUUGGAUGGGCCCGCGUUGGAUUAGCUAGUUGGUAGGGUAAAAGCCUACCAAGGCGACGAUCCAUAGCUGGUCUGAGAGGAUGAUCAGCCACACUGGGACUGAGACACGGCCCAGACUCCUACGGGAGGCAGCAGUGGGGAAUAAUGGACAAUGGGCGAAAGCCUGAUCCAGCAAUGGCGCGUGAGUGAUGAAGGGCUUAGGGUUGUAAAGCUCUUUUAACCGGGAUGAUAAUGACAGUACCGGGAGAAUAAGCUCCGGCUAACUCCGUG